rnacentral:rRNA from 1 species
UGGCGGACGGGUGAGUAACGCGUGGAAAACCUGCCGUAUACUGGGGGAUAACACUUAGAAAUAGGUGCUAAUACCGCAUAAGCGCACAGCUUCGCAUGAAGCGGUGUGAAAAACUCCGGUGGUACAGGAUGGACCCGCGUCUGAUUAGCUGGUUGGCGGGGUAACGGCCCACCAAGGCGACGAUCAGUAGCCGGCCUGAGAGGGUGAACGGCCACAUUGGGACUGAGACACGGCCCAAACUCCUACGGAAGGCAGCAG